GAAAGAGGAGCAGGGGAAUACACAGCACCCCCGAAAGAGGCGCCACCCCACAGCAGCAGGAACAGACUGGUCUCAGGGGGCGCGCGGCCAGGCGGGGGCCACGUUUCUGGUGCGAGCGUGAUUAGCGCUUCCCAGCGGCGAGCGAGCUCAGAAACUGCGCACGUGUGUGCAGCCCGGGCCACCGCGCACGGCUGGCGCGGAGACCCAGCAAAGCCGCGGCGUCGCAACCCCCCGAGCCUGGUCACUGGUCCUGCUGGCCGCAGCGCGGCCAGCAGCGGGGCGAGCACCAUGCGGGAGCAGAGUUCGGGAGCCCUCACUGUGCCAGUCACCGAGGUGAGCGUGGAUGAUCUCCUGGACUCUCCUCUGCACCCUAAGCAGAACUAGGGAUUGUAGAUGAGGCUUCGGGUUCUUGAGGAAUUUGCUCAAACGCCUCUCAGGAACACACAUGCCCAGCUUCCGAGGACAUUGCUAAGGCCAAGAUGUCACCGGAGACACAGAAAGCCUCAGCCAGUGUUGGCAGUACUAUUCCUAUCCUUUCAGGUCAUAUUCAUUCUUUUUCACAGACAUUGCAAAAUCUUCGAUCUUCAGUUGGUCGUCAACAAUCUCUGGGGUGUCUUAUUACAGAGCUCAGUUGCUUAUGAUGUAGGUGUUUGUUUACUCCAUUAAAUUUUUCAGCUUGUACUGUAUGAGCUUUGCUUCCUAUGACGUAUUUAAAGUUUUUAUAUUAAAGAGGGAGAUCUUCUGCCAGUGGAAAGGAGGCCAAGAGAAGAAGGGAGAGGUGAGGGAACAGAUGGAAAGACAUGUAAAAAAAAACUGAGAUAGAUUGUGUGCACGUACUUACUUCUCACAAUGAAUGUCAGCCUUAAGUACUGCAAACAGUACUAAUAAAAAUAAACAACUUUUUAAAUAAUGAAAAAAUAAAAAUAAAUAAAAUUUUAUAUUAAGAAUUAGGUUUUAAUUCAUUGAGACAAAAAUUCUGUGUAUUUUGUAAGCUAGAGACUGUUAUUUAUUUUGCUACAAAUAACUGAUUCUCUAUAUAUCAUUUAUUAAACAGUUCGUUUUCCACCCAUUGAUUUAAAAUGUU